GCAAGUGUGGUGUAGUGGGUUGUGCGCUGGGCUUGGACGCUGGAAGUCCAGGGUUCAAAUCCCUGCUCAGCCA